rnacentral:rRNA from 1 species
CGAGAGGACCGGAGUGGACGCAUCACUGGUGUUCGGGUUGUCAUGCCAAUGGCACUGCCCGGUAGCUAAAUGCGGAAGAGAUAAGUGCUGAAAGCAUCUAAGCACGAAACUUGCCCCGAGAUGAGUUCUCCCUGACCCUUUAAGGGUCCUGAAGGAACGUUGAAGACGACGACGUUGAUAGGCCGGGUGUGUAAGCGCAGCGAUGCGUUGAGCUAACCGGUACUAAUGAACCGUGAGGCUUAACCUUACAACGCCGAAGGUGUUU